GGAAGGAUCAUUAUUGAAUUUAAAAGCUAUACUGCUGCUGGUCUUUCACGAGACAUGUGCACGUGUACUUUCAUUCUACACACCCCUGUGAACUACUGUGGAAACGCUGGGCAACUGGCUGCUCCAUUUUUAUAACACACACACACUUGUAAUCUGAAUUAAAUAAAUCUUAAAUGAAAUACAACUUUCAACAACGGAUCUCUUGGCUCUCGCAUCGAUGAAGAACGCAGCGAAAUGCGAUAAGUAAUGUGAAUUGCAGAAUUCAGUGAAUCAUCGAAUCUUUGAACGCACCUUGCGCCUUUUGGAUUUUCUAAAAGGCAUGCCUGUUUGAGUAUCAUGAAACCGAUCAGUGAACACUCUGAAUUAAUUUUCUCUGUUGCUUGCUGGACUUGGAUGCUGCUGGUUUUUAAUAAUCAGCUCGUCCGAAAUGCAUUAGCUUGGAGUUGCGAGUCUUUGAAUGCUCCCUGGCGUGAUAAUUGUCAUUAGUCAUGGAAGAUUGCAAGGCAAAGCUACACUCUGCUUCUAAACCAUUUUCUCCGGAAAAUACACUUAAUAUUCUGAUCUCAAAUCAGGUAGGACUACCCGCUGAACUUAAGCAUAUCAAUAAGCGGAGGAAAAGAAACUAACAAGGAUUCCCCUAGUAACGGCGAGUGAAGCGGGAUAAGCUCAAAUUUAAAAUCUGGUGGUCUUUGGCCAUCCGAGUUGUAGUCUAGAGAAGUGUUUUCUGUGCCGGACCAUGUACAAGUCUCUUGGAACAGAGCAUCAUAGAGGGUGAGAAUCCCGUCCUUGACAUGGAGCCCCCGGGACUAUACGAUGCACUCUCAAAGAGUCGAGUUGUUUGGGAAUGCAGCUCAAAUGGGUGGUAAAUUCCAUCUAAAGCUAAAUAUUGGCGAGAGACCGAUAGCGAACAAGUACCGUGAGGGAAAGAAGGAAAAGACC
rnacentral:sRNA from 1 species